rnacentral:lncRNA from 1 species
GAUCUCCUGUAAGGGUUCUGGAUACAGCUUUACCAGCUACUGGAUCGGCUGGGUGCGCCAGAUGCCCGGGAAAGGCCUGGAGUGGAUGGGGAUCAUCUAUCCUGGUGACUCUGAUACCAGAUACAGCCCGUCCUUCCAAGGCCAGGUCACCAUCUCAGCCGACAAGUCCAUCAGCACCGCCUACCUGCAGUGGAGCAGCCUGAAGGCCUCGGACACCGCCAUGUAUUACUGUGCGAGACACACACAAUGUGACAACUGGUUCGACCCCUGGGGCCAGGGAACCCUGGUCACCGUCUCCUCAGGUGAGUCCUCACCACCCCCUCUCU